rnacentral:rRNA from 1 species
UUGACCUCAAAUCAGGUAGGACUACCCGCUGAACUUAAGCAUAUCAAUAAGCGGAGGAAAAGAAACUAACAAGGAUUCCCCUAGUAACUGCGAGUGAAGCGGGAAAAGCUCAAAUUUGAAAUCUGGCAGUUCUUUUGACUGUCCGAGUUGUAAUCUAGAGAAGUGUUACCUGUGCUGGACCAUGUACAAGUCUUCUGGAAUGGGGCAUCAUAGAGGGUGAGAAUCCCGUCUUUGACAUGGACUACCAGUGCACUGUGGUGCGCUCUCAAAGAGUCGAGUUGUUUGGGAAUGCAGCUCAAAAUGGGUGGUAAAUGCCAUCUAAAGCUAAAUAUUGGCGAGAGACCGAUAGCGAACAAGUACCGUGAGGGAAAGAUGAAAAGAACUUUGGAAAGAGAGUUAAACAGUACGUGAAAUUGCUGAAAGGGAAACGCUUGAAGUCAGUCACGUUGGCUAGAAAUCAGCCUUGCUUUUGCUUGGUGUACUUUCUGGUUUGACGGGUCAGCAUCGAUUUCUUUGACCAUUGGAUAAAGUCUUUGGGAAUGUGGCAUCUUUGGAUGUGUUAUAGCCCAUUGUCGCAUAUGAUGGUUGGGAUCGAGGAACUCAGCACGCCGCAAGGCCGGGUUUAUACCAUGUUCGUGCUUAGGAUGCUGGCAUAAUGGCUUUAAUCGACCCGU